AUCUAGCCCUGAUUGAAGAGAAAAUCUUUUUUGUAAAAAAAAGAUUGUAACGAAAAGCAGGAAUAUGG
rnacentral:sRNA from 1 species